GUACAAGAGUAGCCAUGAGUCGUCUAACGAAGUGUGGCAGUUCCUGCAGAUUUAAUGUUUCUGCAAUGCCCCAAAUUUUUAAGUUGCUGCACCUCAACCCAUCAUCAAGGUUAUCCAUUCUGGUCUUUGUUACCCCUUAUGAACUAACGUUGGUGUACGAGCUCUGUGGUGCUUGCUUUUCCUUUAAGUUAUGGAGGAGAUGACUUCUGUGGAAAACGUACCUAAGCCAUGAGCUCCUGGAGGAGCUUGCUAGCUAGCCUCCUGCCCAAGAACUAUGGGCCAUAUCCGAAGACCUUGCUCAGGAGUUAAACCUCCCCAGCCACCAUUAGCAGCUUUCCCUGGGUGCCUUUGGUUCUGCACUUUCCCUUCAUUCGAAUAGAACCAAACAUUAGCUCCCUGGCAGCCAUUCGCAUGAAGAAACCCAUGAAUUGUCCUCAGCUGUACUUAGUUGUGAAUGUUAUGGAACAGUUUUUGGCAUGAGGUGACUGUGCGGCUCUUGAACAACUUGGUCCGGGGUUUUGAACAACUUUACAACCCGCGAGGAGAGUGCUUUUUGGAGGGAAGGUGCCUAAGACCAAGGGGCACUAACACUACCUCAGAGCCUGAAUUCAAAAAGGGUUCAGAGGGAUUUUCCUUUUUAGGUUUGCUGCCCAACUGUUAAUUAGCGCUUGCUAACUACCUAAGAGCCAGCCGGAGCACCCUAUAUUUUGGACGCAGGAUCUCCCGAAAAUUGACCGGCCAAAGUACCAACCCCCUUAGAACUGUUUUGGGCAUAGGACCACGUGUGUGGCUGGUCAGAACUUUACUUGGCGUUUAACUGGCGUUUCCCCUACACUGCACGGAUCUGAGCG